UACAGAGGGGGCAAGCGUUGUUCGGAAUUACUGGGCAUAAAGGGCGCGUAGGCGGCGCGGUAAGUCACUUGUGAAAUCUCUGAGCUUAACUCAGAACGGCCAAGUGAUACUGCAGUGCUAGAGUGCAGAAAGGGCAAUCGGAAUUCUUGGUGUAGCGGUGAAAUGCGUAGAUAUCAAGAGGAACACCUGAGGCGAAGGCGGGUUGCUAGGCUGACACUGACGCUGAGUGCGCGAAAGCCAGGGGAGCAAACGGG
rnacentral:rRNA from 1 species